AUGUGGGGAGGCCGCGGGCGGGCCCCGCUCCGCUGUGCCGGGGCAGGGCAGGGCAGGGCAGCGGGGCAGCCCGAGCUCCCCGGGCCCCAGGGGCGGCUCCUCAGGCAGCCGGGACGGCUUGGCCUGGGUGGGUCCGGGACGGGCACUGAGCCGCAGCUGUGCUGCACACACACAGUACUCUGGACACACUGGGUGCUGUGGAUGAGAGAGAACCUCCGCCGAGCCCGGCUUUGGAGUGGGGUCAGGAGGAGCAGCCGGUGGGACCGGAGCUGGAGGGGACCUGGUCCUUCAGGAGUGACCGAGAAGUCUAUGACCAUGGCCUACCCAGCCCUCUGGAGUUACUCAGUGGUGGCACAGCCCCGACUGCUCUGCCAGAUGUGAUGAGUUUGUGCCCAGCUGGCUGAAACCCCAAUUAGACCAUAACAGUGAUUUCAGCUAGAGGAAAUAAUUUGGUUAUUCUGACUGUUCAGUGUGCUCCUGUCACCAUAGAGGACUUCACUGCACUUGGACAGGAACAAUAUUGAUAGUACUACACUGGGGGGAGUCACCCUGUCUAGGAUUUGGCACUCUCUCCUGUAAUAGCCUGUGCUGAUGGACAUCAAGAGGUGAACCUUUCCUGACCCUAUGUUAUGCACAAGAAAACAAAAGCAGAAGUAUCUUUUCCACUUUACAUGUGAGGGAUAAGUGUUACAGCAUUUUGGUAUCCUUGUCUUGUGUUUGUCAUAAUAUCCUAAUCCAUUGAGGCCAUGUUAAGGAGGGACCUUUGAGAGCUCUAUAAAUCGGAUUUCCUCAAAGUGAAACAGGAUGGGAUUGCAAUGUCUCCUUGGCAUGGCCCUGAAACCAAAACGAUUCUUCACUGACUAAAUAGUUUGAUGAGCUGGUUAGACUACAGCCUGCAGCCAGAGAUGGAAAGGAAGCUGCCUUUUCCUUGAAUUCUGCUCCUUUUUCUCAUGCAAGCUGGAAACAGAACUAACACGAAGUAAUUCCUCUCACUGCUAACCUCAGACUCAAGUUUGAUUACUCACUGCAUUAAUUUACCAAUUCCAUGAUUCGAACCCAUUGGUUUAUUGAUUUUGUCUUAAUAGGAACACAGAUGCAAUCACGGGAUUGUUCAGUUUUUAAUUAACUUUGCAAAAUUAUAGCAGAUUUACCCUGCUGUCUUAAAAAUUAACUCCCUAGCUUAUUCUUUUCAAUAAAACCCAUUUCAAUAAAAUCCA
rnacentral:lncRNA from 1 species